rnacentral:tRNA from 1 species
UAGAAAAUAAUAUAAGGGAAGUAUAGAGGGUUUUGAUCUCUCUAGUGCAGGUUCAACUCCUGCUUUUCUAA